UGGCUCUCGCAUCGAUGAAGAACGCAGCGAAAUGCGAUAAGUAAUGUGAAUUGCAGAAUUCAGUGAAUCAUCGAAUCUUUGAACGCACCUUGCGCUCCUUGGUAUUCCGAGGAGCAUGCCUGUUUGAGUGUCGUGUAAUUCUCAACCUACAAAUCCUUGCGGUUUGUAGGCUUGGACUUGGAGGCUUUUGCCGGCUUUACGGUCGGCUCCUCUCAAAUGCAUUAGCUUGAUUCUAGUUUGGAUCGGUUCUCGGUGUGAUAAUUAUCUGCGCCGUAGCCGUGAAGCGUUUAGCAAGCUUAUAACCGUCUCUUUGAGACAAUUACUUUGACAUCUGACCUCAAAUCAGGUAGGACUACCCGCUGA
rnacentral:misc_RNA from 1 species